UACGUAGGUGGCGAGCGUUGUCCGGAUUCAUUGGGCGUAAAGCGCGCGCAGGUGGUGCGGUAAGUCUGUCGUGAAAUCUCCCGGCUCAACUGGGAGGGUGCGGUGGAGACUGCCGGACUGGAGGCACUCAGAGGCCGGUGGAAUUCCCGGUGUAGUGGUGAAAUGCGUAGAGAUCGGGAGGAACACCAGUGGCGAAGGCGGCCGGCUGGGGGUGACCUGACGCUGAGGCGCGAAAGCGUGGGGAGCGAACCGG
rnacentral:rRNA from 1 species